UACGUAGGGGGCGAGCGUUGUCCGGAAUCAUUGGGCGUAAAGAGCGUGUAGGCGGCUUGGCAAGUCUGACGUGAAAGCCCGCGGCUCAACCGCGGAUUGUCGUUGGAAACUGCCUCGCUAGAGUCCGGAAGAGGAGAGCGGAAUUCCUGGUGUAGCGGUGGAAUGCGCAGAUAUCAGGAAGAACACCCGUGGCGAAGGCGGCUCUCUGGGACGGUACUGACGCUGAGACGCGAAAGCGUGGGGAGCAAAGGGAUUAGAAU
rnacentral:rRNA from 1 species